AGGUUACUGCUAUCGGUGUUCGCCUAAGCCAUGCGAGUCAUAUGUUCUUCGUGAACAUGGCGUACUGCUCAGUAACACGUGGAUAACCUGCCCUUGGGUCCGGCAUAACCCCGGGAAACUGGGGAUAAUUCCGGAUAACGCACAUAUGCUGGAAUGCUUUAUGCGUCAAAUGGAUUCGUCCGCCCAAGGAUGGGUCUGCGGCCUAUCAGGUAGUAGUGGGUGUAAUGUACCUACUAGCCUACGACGGGUACGGGUUGUGAGAGCAAGAGCCCGGAGAUGGAUUCUGAGACAUGGAUCCAGGCCCUACGGGGCGCAGCAGGCGCGAAAACUUUACAAUGCGGGAAACCGUGAUAAGGGGACACCGAGUGCCAGCAUCAUAUGCUGGCUGUCCGGGUGUGUAAAAUACACCUGUUAGCAAGGGCCGGGCAAGACCGGUGCCAGCCGCCGCGGUAACACCGGCGGCCCGAGUGGUGAUCGUGAUUAUUGGGUCUAAAGGGUCCGUAGCCGGUUUGGUCAGUCCUCCGGGAAAUCUGACGGCUUAACCGUUAGGCUUUCGGGGGAUACUGCCAGACUUGGAACCGGGAGAGGUAAGAGGUACUACAGGGGUAGGAGUGAAAUCUUGUAAUCCCUGUGGGACCACCUGUGGCGAAGGCGUCUUACCAGAACGGGUUCGACGGUGAGGGACGAAAGCUGGGGGCACGAACCGGAUUAGAUACCCGGGUAGUCCCAGCCGUAAACGAUGCUCGCUAGGUGUCAGGCAUGGCGCGACCGUGUCUGGUGCCGCAGGGAAGCCGUGAAGCGAGCCACCUGGGAAGUACGGCCGCAAGGCUGAAACUUAA
rnacentral:rRNA from 1 species